UCUUUAAUUCUCUCUGAUUUCUUUGCUGACUCCACCUUUCUUUCCCCGCAUUUUCUUUUUUCUCUUUGUCUCCUCCCCUUCUUCACCGAGCCAACCUUCUCUUCUCUUCCUUUUCAUCGCCAAAGCCUCCGAGUUUUACUCUCUUCUCUUCCAUCCUUGCCCAAGCGCCAGCGACACUCGAGCCACUGCCGAUCGAACCUAUCUCCCUCUGGAAUCUCAGCCGACGCCGCUCUCCCAUCUGCUUAGAUCCGUCGACCACCAGUCGUCGGCAACGACGCCGACGAGCGCGACGAGUAGGGAGCAACGCUAAGUGCAGGUUUCCUCCCCUUCGCUGGAGACCAGGUCGAUGACGCAGUCGACCCCUCGUUCAGCCGCCGUGCCCUAGCAUCAGUUGCCGAUUCUUAUUUUUCUUACUCUCUGGUCGUGGGGAUCUUGAUGCUGCGGUUGGCUCCGAUCAACAUUAUCGUAGACAGAAGAUAGCUUCCUUCAUCAGAUCCUUGAUCACCACCGUUAAUUGGAGAGUAAUCUGCAGAUCUAGAUUUGGGCAGGUAAAAAAGAAUAGGGCAGCAGUAAACCUCCGUUGACAGCUGCGUAUUACCAUUAACCACCUUCGAAUUGGGGUUUCGGAUUCGGGACGAGCACAUCGACAUGGAGGUUGAUUAGCUCGAUUUACAUUGGAGGCGGGUAUUUUGACUUUAUGUCAUUUGAUAUG